rnacentral:snRNA from 1 species
GAACUGGUACGGACAAGGGGAAUCCGACUG